UACGAAGGGUGCAAGCGUUACUCGGAAUUACUGGGCGUAAAGCGUGCGCAGGCGGUUUUGCAAGACAGGUGUGAAAUCCCCGGGCUUAACCUGGGAGCUGCAUUUGUGACUGCAAGGCUAGAGUACGGUAGAGGGGGAUGGAAUUCCGCGUGUAGCAGUGAAAUGCGUAGAUAUGCGGAGGAACACCGAUGGCGAAGGCAAUCCCCUGGGCCUGUACUGACGCUCAUGCACGAAAGCGUGGGGAGCAAACAGG
rnacentral:rRNA from 1 species